rnacentral:rRNA from 1 species
UACGAAGGGGGCUAGCGUUGCUCGGAUUGACUGGGCGUAAAGGGCGCGUAGGCGGUCUGUACAGUCAGGCGUGAAAUUCCUGGGCUCAACCUGGGGGCUGCGUUUGAUACGUGCAGACUAGAGUGCGGAAGAGGGUCGUGGAAUUCCCAGUGUAGAGGUGAAAUUCGUAGAUAUUGGGAAGAACACCGGUGGCGAAGGCGGCGACCUGGUCCGAUACUGACGCUGAGGCGCGAAAGCGUGGGGAGCGAUCCGG